rnacentral:misc_RNA from 1 species
UAGAAGACAAGGUGUGUGAUACAAAGG